UGAAUGAACGGUCACCUUACCCCUAAAAACCCUCCUCCUUUGCCGCUGAACAUCCGAUCCCUGCGCCUCCACCUGUCCUGGAACCUGCGUCGGUGCCGUUCAGAACUGCAGCGCCCAGUCUCCUUCGCGCGCCUCUACCGUCACUGGCAGCAACUGUUUCGUCCAUCAGCGUCGUCUCGAACUGCAACGCCCAAUCUCUGUUGCGCACGUCAUCCGUGGUUGGUGGGAGUUGCCUCACCUGACACCGGAACUCCACCGCUCACCCAACAUUGGAAGAACGCAUUAAAACAACAACAGAGUCGUGGAAAUGACAGAUAUGACUGAACUAGAAACUGAUGAGACAGAAUGUGGUCAUAGAAUUCAUAUAUGCUUGGAGUUGAUGCAGUUAGAUAUAAGUUAUUAAGUUAUAAUAGACAUGUUAUUACAUUUUUAAAUCCUACUUAAUUAUGUCAUAUUCCAUAAUGGAAAUUUAUCACAAAGUGUAAAAUUUUUCAAUUAUAAAACAUAUGCCGUUAGUAUAA